UCUGUGAGCCUGAGUUGGCUGGCAGGGGUCAGCUGCUGGUUUCUGUUUGCUGUGCACACGAACCGACAUUGAGACAAUGGGAGAACUGGACAUUAGGAUUAGGGACCAUGCUGGUUUGUAACUCCCUCUGGUGUCUCUGGGACCUGCAUCCCUGUCACUGAUGGGAUAAUCUGGCCUCAGGAGUUCCUGGCUCCCAAACCUGUGCUAACUCCUCCAGAGCGAGCGAGAAUCAACUUGGGGAUUUGUUCGUGCCACUAGUAUAAAACUUGAUGACAAAGAGAGCUGAAGACAGGAGUCUGUAAAGCACCUGGCACAAUGGAACCAUGGUCCUGUCUGGGUCUCUGGGUUUCAUGGUAACAUGCGUUAGAAUAAUCUGACCCAUUUUCAUUACCCUCUGGAGAACGGAGGUCGAAGUGUGACUGAUGUCAAAGUGAAAAAUCCGUUUGGUGGUUCCACCAGUGUCCCCUGUUAUGCCCAGUACAAAUGACUGGAAAUCUUGACCCAACAGAGGCUCAGGACUGGAAGAGCAAAGAUGCUGCAGAUGCCAGAGGACUCUGUGGCUAGAACAACAGAGGCCUGAGAGGCCAGGAUUGGAAUGGGAGAAGCAGGGUCAGGACUUCCCCACGAUGUGUCUUACUGCAGCCAGAGCGAUCAGAGAGCACAGGGGUAUCGGGAGAGCACAGAGUGGGACUCUGCCUGCUCUGUGCGCUCAGCCCAUUGAAACAACCUCCGUUGGGUUGGCUCUGCCCCCUUACAACAGAGCUAGGACUAGAGAGGCAGGAACCUUGGAGUGAGCCACAGAUUUGCAUGAAGGGGCCGUUCCGCAGUGUUGGGGGUUUAAGAGAGAAUUGGAGGGUCCCAGCCACAGACCCGUUUGCCUCAGGAAGCCGAGCUCGUCUGGAUUCCCACCAUGGCCUGGGCCCCUCUGCUCCUCGCGCUGCUCACUUACUGCAUUGGUUUCAGUUCCCAGCAGCUCCAGUCACUGAAGGCAUCUGAGUUAGUGUCUCCUGGAGGGACCGUGACCCUCUCCUGCAGCCUGAGCAGUGGGGCCCUCACUGAUCACAACCACCCGCUCUGGGUUCAACAGAGACUGGGGAAAGUUCCUCGGCUGAUCAUGCACAGCACGAGUACCAGGCCCUCGGGGAUCCCAGAGCGUUUCACUGGCUCCAGAUCGGGUAACACCAUGUCCUUGACCAUCACGGGGGCCCUGGCGGAGGAUGAUGCUGAUUAUUACUGUUCUGUGUGGGCUGUGAGCAUUCAGCACAGCACUACAGUCAGAUGGAGAAGUGAUACAAAAAGCUCCCUCUGCAGACAGGCCAUAGAACUUCACCCAGUAACUCCUGUCUAAAGCCCAAAGCAUGGUUAGACUCGCCCAUCUCUUUUAGAAAGACCCCCAGGCUCGAUGUAGAGACCCCAACUGAUGGAGAAUGUUCCACAGCCCUUUGUAAUCUGCUCCAGUGCUUAAUUCCUGUGCAUGUCAUUUCCAGUUUGAAUUUUUCUAACUGCAGCUCCCAGACAUUUGAUCUUGGUCUGCAUUGGUCUGCUAGAUUAAACAGCCCCCGAGUACCUGCUCUUCUGCUGUGAUCAAGUCACCUCUUAACCUUCUCUUUGAUAACACGGCUGUUCUGCUUCUCUCAGCUCCAAACCCAACAGCCCAAGUAAAACUCAGGGCAUGUCUACAGUGCCCGGCGCUCGGA